rnacentral:rRNA from 1 species
CACCAGACUCCUACGGGAGGCAGCAGUGGGGAAUAUUGCACAAUGGGGGGAACCCUGAUGCAGCGACGCCGCGUGGGUGAAGGAGCACCUCGGUGCGUAAAGCCCUAUCGGCAGGGAAGAAAAGCGAACAGGUUCGCCUGGACGGUACCUGACUAAGAAGCCCCGGCUAACUACGUGCCAGCAGCCGCGGUAAUACGGAGGGGGCAAGCGUUCUCCGGAUUUACUGGGUGUAAAGGGAGCGUAGACGGUUCUGCAAGCCAGAUGUGAAAGCCCGGGGCUCAACCCCGGGACUGCAUUUGGAACUGUAAGGCUAGAGGGUCGGAGAGGCAGGCGGAAUUCCUAGUGUAGCGGUGAAAUGCGUAGAUAUUAGGAGGAACACCAGUGGCGAAGGCGGCCUGCUGGACGAUGACUGCCGUUGAGGCUCGAAAGCGUGGGGAGCAACCAGGAUUAGAUACCCGAGUAGC